rnacentral:rRNA from 1 species
GUCGUACGAGAGUUUUUAACUCAAGUGGCGGACGGGUGAGUAACACGUAAGAAUUUGCCUUUAGGAGGGGGAUAACAACUGGAAACGGUUGCUAAUACCCCAUAUGCUUUCGAGUGAAAUGGUUUUUCCGCCUAGAGAGAAGCUUGCGGCUGAUUAGCUUGUUGGGGAGGUAAUGGCUCACCAAGGCGACGAUCAGUAUCUGGUUUGAGAGGACGAUCAGACACACUGGAACUGAGACACGGUCCAGACUCCUACGGGAGGCAGCAGUGGGGAAUUUUCCGCAAUGGGCGAAAGCCUGACGGAGCAAUACCGCGUGAGGGAUGACGGCCUAUGGGUUGUAAACCUCUUUUUUCAGGGAGGAAUAAAUGACGUGUACCUGAGGAAUAAGCAUCGGCUAACUCCGUG